GAUGAACGCUAGCGGCAGGCCUAACACAUGCAAGUCGAGGGAUAAGCCCUUCGGGGUGGAAACCGGCGCACGGGUGCGUAACGCGUAUGCAACCUACCUUUCACAGGGGGAUAGCCCGAAGAAAUUUGGAUUAAUACCCCAUAAUAUUGUUGGAUGGCAUCAUCUGAUAAUUAAAGUUACGAUGGUGAAAGAUGGGCAUGCGUCCUAUUAGCUAGUUGGAGUGGUAACGGCACCCCAAGGCUACGAUAGGUAGGGGUCCUGAGAGGGAGAUCCCCCACACUGGUACUGAGACAGGGACCAGACUCCUACGGGAGGCAGCAGUGAGGAAUAUUGGUCAAUGGUCGAAAGACUGAACCAGCCAUGCCGCGUGCAGGACAGACGGCCCUAGAGGUUGUAAACUGCUUUUAUAUGGGAAGAAUAAGGAGUACGCGUACUUUGAUGACGGUACCAUAUGAAUAAAGCAUCGG
rnacentral:rRNA from 1 species